GGCAGAGGGGGCAAGCGUUGUCCGGAUUUACUGGGCGUACAGCGCGCGCAGGCGGUCGUGCAGGUACCUGGUGACAAACAUGCGCUCAACGCAUGAGGGACUGGGUAAACCGCAGGACUGGAGGCAGGGAGAGGGAUGUGGAAUACCCGGUGGAGCGGUGAAAUGCGUAGAGAUCGGGUGGAACACCAGUGGCGAAGGCGGCAUCCUGGCCCUGACCUGACGCUGAGGCGCGAGAGCGUGGGGAGCGAACGGG
rnacentral:rRNA from 1 species